AAUCAACGCUUGCGGCGUGCCUAACACAUGCAAGUCGAACGAGAAAGUGGAGCAAUCCAUGAGUACAGUGGCGACCGGGUGAGUAACACGUGACUAACCUACCCUCGAGUGGGGGAUAACUCCGGGAAACCGGGGCUAAUACCGCAUAACAUCGCUUGGUGAAAUUCCUUGUGAUCAAAGGAGCAAUUCGUUUGAGGAGGGAGUCGCGUCUGAUUAGCUAGUUGGUGAGGUAACGGCCCACCAAGGCGAUGAUCAGUAGCCGGCCUGAGAGGGCGCACGGCCACACUGGAACUGAAACACGGUCCAGACUCCUACGGGAGGCAGCAGUGGGGAAUUUUGCGCAAUGGGGGAAACCCUGACGCAGCAACGCCGCGUGGAGGUUGAAGUCCUUUGGGAUGUAAACUCCUUUCGACCGGGAAGAUUAUGACGGUACCGGAGGAAGAAGCACCGGCUAACUCUGUGCCAGCCGCCGCCGUAACAC
rnacentral:rRNA from 1 species